rnacentral:rRNA from 1 species
UUUGAUUYUGGCUCARGAUGAACGCUGGCGGCGUGCCUAAUACAUGCAAGUCGAACGCACAGCGAAAGGUGCUUGCACCUUUCAAGUGAGUGGCGAACGGGUGAGUAACACGUGGACAACCUGCCUCAAGGCUGGGGAUAACAUUUGGAAACAGAUGCUAAUACCGAAUGAAACUUAGUGUCGCAGGAUACGAAGUUAAAAGGCGCUUUGGCGUCACCUAGAGAUGGAUCCGCGGUGCAUUAGUUAGUUGGUGGGGUAAAGGCCUACCAAGACAAUGAUGCAUAGCCGAGUUGAGAGACUGAUCGGCCACAUUGGGACUGAGACACGGCCCAAACUCCUACGGGAGGCUGCAGUAGGGAAUCUUCCACAAUGGGCGAAAGCCUGAUGGAGCAACGCCGCGUGUGUGAUGAAGGCUUUCGGGUCGUAAAGCACUGUUGUAUGGGAAGAACAGCUAGAAUAGGGAAUGAUUUUAGUUUGACGGUACCAUACCAGAAAGGGACGGCUAAAUACGUGCCAGCAGCCGCGGUAAUACGUAUGUCCCGAGCGUUAUCCGGAUUUAUUGGGCGUAAAGCGAGCGCAGACGGUUGAUUAAGUCUGAUGUGAAAGCCCGGAGCUCAACUCCGGAAUGGCAUUGGAAACUGGUUAACUUGAGUGCAGUAGAGGUAAGUGGAACUCCAUGUGUAGCGGUGGAAUGCGUAGAUAUAUGGAAGAACACCAGUGGCGAAGCGGCUUACUGGACUGUAACUGACGUUGAGGCUCGAAAGUGUGGGUAGCAACAGGAUUAGAUACCCUGGUAGUCCACACGUAAACGAUGAACACUAGGUGUUAGGAGGUUUCCGCCUCUUAGUGCCGAAGCUAACGCAUUAAGUGUUCCGCCUGGGGAGUACGACCGCAAGGUUGAAACUCAAAGGAAUUGACGGGGACCCGCACAAGCGGUGGAGCAUGUGGUUUAAUUCGAAGCAACGCGAAGAACCUUACCAGGUCUUGACAUCCUUUGAAGCUUUUAGAGAUAGAAGUGUUCUCUUCGGAGACAAAGUGACAGGUGGUGCAUGGUCGUCGUCAGCUCGUGUCGUGAGAUGUUGGGUUAAGUCCCGCAACGAGCGCAACCCUUAUUGUUAGUUGCCAGCAUUCAGAUGGGCACCCUAGCGAGACUGCCGGUGACAAACCGGAGGAAGGCGGGGACGACGUCAGAUCAUCAUGCCCCUUAUGACCUGGGCUACACACGUGCUACAAUGGCGUAUACAACGAGUUGCCAACCCGCGAGGGUGAGCUAAUCUCUUAAAGUACGUCUCAGUUCGGAUUGUAGUCUGCAACUCGACUACAUGAAGUCGGAAUCGCUAGUAAUCGCGGAUCAGCACGCCGCGGUGAAUACGUUCCCGGGUCUUGUACACACCGCCCGUCACACCAUGGGAGUUUGUAAUGCCCAAAGCCGGUGGCCUAACCUUUUAGGAAGGAGCCGUCUAAGGCAGGACAGAUGACUGGGGUGAAGUCGUAACAAGCUAGCCGUA